ensembl:scaRNA small Cajal body-specific RNA 11
GUGUCCUGGCCUUAUGUUUGUGCUCCCCUUUGCUCAGCUGUGACAGGGCAGUCUGUCAGGACGUACAGCAAUUUCCCUCUCAGUUUAGGAGGGCUGUCCUAAGAAUAGGGCUGGCUCUUAAAGGCACGAGAGGACAAU